GACGAACGCUGGCGGCGUGCUUAACACAUGCAAGUCGAACGGAAAGGCCCUGCUUUUGUGGGGUGCUCGAGUGGCGAACGGGUGAGUAACACGUGAGUAACCUGCCCUUGACUUUGGGAUAACUUCAGGAAACUGGGGCUAAUACCGGAUAGGAGCUCCUGCUGCAUGGUGGGGGUUGGAAAGUUUCGGCGGUUGGGGAUGGACUCGCGGCUUAUCAGCUUGUUGGUGGGGUAGUGGCUUACCAAGGCUUUGACGGGUAGCCGGCCUGAGGGGGUGACCGGCCACAUUGGGACUGGGAUACGGCCAAGACUACUACGGGAGGCAGCAGUGGGGAAUAUUGCAAAAUGGGCGGAAGCCUGAUGCAGCAACGCCGCGUGCGGGAUGACGGCCUUCGGGUUGUAAACCGCUUUCGCCUGUGACGAAGCGUGAGUGACGGUAAUGGGUAAAGAAGCACCGGCUAACUACGU
rnacentral:rRNA from 1 species